rnacentral:rRNA from 1 species
UUAGAGUUUGAUCCUGGCUCAGGACGAACGCUGGCGGCGUGCUUAACACAUGCAAGUCGAACGGAGGUUAUUUUGAAGCGCAAGUAGAUAAAUAACCUUAGUGGCGGACGGGUGAGUAACGCGUGGAUAACCUGCCUGAAUGACCGGGGCAACACCGGGAAACUGGUGCUAAUACCGGAUACGCUCUUAGAUGCCCAUGCAUAUAAGAGGAAAGGAGCAAUCCGCAUACAGAUGGGUCCGCGUCCCAUUAGCUAGUUGGGGGUGUAAGAGACUCCCAAGGCAACGAUGGGUAGCCGGCCUGAGAGGGUGGACGGCCACACUGGAACUGAGACACGGUCCAGACUCCUACGGGAGGCAGCAGUGGGGAAUAUUGCACAAUGGGGGAAACCCUGAUGCAGCAACGCCGCGUGAGUGAUGACGGUCUUCGGAUUGUAAAGCUCUGUCUUCAGGGACGAUAAUGACGGUACCUGAGGAGGAAGCCACGGCUAACUACGUGCCAGCAGCCGCGGUAAUACGUAGGUGGCAAGCGUUGUCCGGAUUUACUGGGCGUAAAGGGAGCGUAGGCGGAUUUUUAAGUGAGAUGUGAAAUACUCGGGCUUAACCUGGGUGCUGCAUUUCAAACUGGAAGUCUAGAGUGCAGGAGAGGAGAAGGGAAUUCCUAGUGUAGCGGUGAAAUGCGUAGAGAUUAGGAAGAACACCAGUGGCGAAGGCGGCCUCCUGGACCAUUCCUGACACUCAGACGCGAAAGCUAGGGUAGCAAACGGAAUUAGAGACUCCGGUAGUCCUAGCCCUAAACGAUGCAGACUAGGCGUCGGCGGUUUAAUCACCGUCGGUGUCCAAGCUAACGCGAUAAGUCUGCCGCCUGAGGACUACGGCCGCAAGGCUAAAACUCAAAGGAAUUGACGGGGGCCCGCACAAGCGGAGGAACAUGUGGUUUAAUUCGAUGAUACGCGAGGAACCUUACCCGGGCUUGAAAUGCAUCUGACCGGCACAGAGACGUGCCUUCCCUUCGGGGCAGAUGUGUAGGUGCUGCAUGGUUGUCGUCAGCUCGUGCCGUGAGGUGUCGGCUUAAGUGCCAUAACGAGCGCAACCCUUGUCAUUAGUUGCCAUCAGGUCAAGCUGGGGACUUUAAUGAGACUGCCACCGUAAGGUGUGAGGAAGGGGGGGAGGACGUCAAAUCAGCACGGCCCUUAUGUCCGGGGCGACACACGUGUUACAAUGGGAGGUACAGAGGGCAGCUAUCCGGUGACGGAAUGCUAAUCUCCAAAACCUUUCUCAGUUCGGAUUGGAGUCUGCAACUCGACUCCAUGAAGGUGGAUUCGCUAGUAAUCGCGCAUCAGCCAUGGCGCGGUGAAUACGUUCCCGGGCCUUGUACUCACCGCCCGUCA